GCUUCCCCGCCCCCUUACGGAUAGCGUUUCCAAGGCUAUUUUUGGGCCUCGGGCUAGCGCACUAUAAAAGUCCCAGGGAGAGUGAGUGGGACAGUGAGACGUGGCACUGACUCUCCUGCGGGAUAGACGCGCGAGCAUCCUGCUCAGCUACAUUCCUGAACUGAAACCUUAGAGAUGAAGAACAAAGUUGGGUGAGGAUAAACAAUGCCUUGAAGAAACACAGCUCCUGAACUUCUAUUAUGAAUGGUGACAAGAGAAAAUGAUUAUAUCUGUGGUCUCUAAAAAGAGGAGCAAAGGGAGAGAGAUGCCCACAGGAGCUUGAGAUUGCACUAGAAUACUUGUCUGAGGUGAUUUGAAUACUAAUAUUUCAUUUGUUUAUCUUUGUCACAAUGCAAAUAUCUGUUAUCAAAAAUAAUAAUAUAAUGUGAGCACUGUACACUUUUUAUUCUGUGUUGUAAUUUAAAUCAAUAUCUUUGAAAAUGUAGAAAA